rnacentral:rRNA from 1 species
UACGUAGGGUGCGAGCGUUAAUCGGAAUUACUGGGCGUAAAGCGUGCGCAGGCGGUUCGUUGUGUCGGUGGUGAAAGCCCCGGGCUUAACCUGGGAAUGGCCAUGGAAACUGGCGAACUAGAGUGUGGCAGAGGGGGGGUGGAAUUCCGCGUGUAGCAGUGAAAUGCGUAGAUAUGCGGAGGAACACCGAUGGCGAAGGCAAUCCCCUGGGCCUGCACUGACGCUCAUGCACGAAAGCGUGGGGAGCAAACAGG